rnacentral:rRNA from 1 species
GGUUCGCGUAUUAAAGAGAGCUUAUAUUAUAUAUAUAUAAUUGUGGCAUAAAUUUUUAUAAUAUUAUAUUUGUAAUGAAACGUUAUUCGUUUUUUAAAAUAUCUAGUUUCUUAAGAAAUAAAUUUAAUUUAGUUUUUUAAAUAUAUUUAUAUUGAUUAUUUAGUUGAAUGUUUUAAAAAGGUAAUAUUUUAUGGGAUAAGCUUUAAAAUAUAGCAUUAAAAAUUAUAUUUUAAUAAUAAAAAUUAGUAGGAUUGGAAAUGUUUUUCUUUAGUUUGUUAUAAUUAGUUUUUAUUUGUAUAAGAUUUAUAUUAAUUUUAAAUUUUCUAUUAAGAUAAAUUAUAUAAUUAAAAUUUAUAUGUAAUAAUGGUGGAAUUAGUAUAAUUGAUUGUAUAAUUAUGUUAAGUUAUUAAGGUUAAAUUAAGGAACUCGGCAAAUGGAUUUUCCGCCUGUUUAUUAAAAACAUGUCUUUUUGAGUAUAAUUUAAAGUCUGACCUGCCCAAUGAGGAAUUGAAUGGCCGCGGUAAUUUGACCGUGCAAAGGUAGCAUAAUCAUUAGUUUUUUAAUUGAAAGCUGGAAUGAACGGUUGGACGAGAAAAUAACUGUCUCAGUUUAAUUUAAUUUAGAAUUUUAUUUGUAAGUAAAAAAGCUUAUAUGUAUUUAAAAGACGAGAAGACCCUAUAGAGUUUUAUAAUUGUUAAUUUUUUAUAUUUUUGGUAUGUUUGAGUAUUUUAUAUUAACAAUUAUUUUAUUGGGGCGAUAGAAAAAUUAGAUAAACUUUUUUUUGUAAUUAGUUCAUUAAUUUAUGUGUGAUUGAUCCGUUUUUUACGAUUAUAAGAUUAAAUUACCUUAGGGAUAACAGCGUAAUUUUUUUUUAGAGUUCUUAUCGAAAAAAGAGUUUGCGACCUCGAUGUUGGAUUAAAAUUAACUUUUGGUGUAGGGGCUAAAAGGUUAGGUCUGUUCGA